AGUGGGGGGGUUGUCUGCUCUCAGGCCCCGCCUCCCCGGGGCCGGCUCGGGCCACUUCUUGCGCGCUGCCAGAAGGAGCUAUUUUGAGCAGGCGGAAUUUUGCUCUGGUGGCCCAGGCUGGAGUGCAGUGGUGCGAUCUUGGCUCACUGCAACCUCUGCCUCCCAGAUUCAAGCAAUUCUCCUGCCUCAGCCUCCCAAGUCGCUGGGAUUACAGGUGCCUGCCACCAUGCCCAGCUUCAAGGAGACUCUGCAUUCAAAAGACCACUCCCGGGCACUGCCUUCUACCAACUUCCCCAUCCAGCUCUGAUUGCAUCGGACCACUGUCUUCCCUCCAUGCCUCCAGCCCUGAGGUUGUCAACGGGGUGCUCCAGCCUCCAUGUGCACCCUGUGACUUCUUUCAUCCUAGUCCUUCUGACCCUCGUGGCUUCUCCUGCUCCAAGGCCAAGCUCGGGACCCUGUCAUCAUCCCCGGGGACAGGCCCCAUCUUAGAGAGGAUCCACCCAGCUCCCCGCUCCUGAGCCAUCUUCCAGCUAUCCCGCCUCGAGACUCCCACCGCACCUGCUCCUGGGCUGCAGCUGCACCCAACAAGUCAACAUGUGGAUUGCUUCUAGAAUUUGGAUAUUAUGAACACUGCUGUGCUGAACAUUCUUGUACACUUAUAUGGUUUGGCUGUGUCCCCACCCAAAUCUCAUCUUGAAUUGUAGCUCCCAUAAUUCCUAUGUGUCGUGG
rnacentral:lncRNA from 1 species